rnacentral:lncRNA from 1 species
GCGGGCUGAAGGGCUCCUCAAGUGCCACCAAAGUGGGAGCCCAGGCAGAGGAGGCGUUGAGAGCGAGCGAGAGCUGUGAGGACUGCCAGCACGCUGUCACCUCUCAAUAUGAUCUAAGACUUGGGUGAAAUGUCCCACCAGACGGUGUGAUAUUUAGUAGCCCAGAAAGCUGCCAAGGGGUUGAAUGACACUAUCUGAAGAUAUGAACCAGUUUGCUCUCCAUAGGGAGGAUUUCAUCAACAGGAAAC